rnacentral:lncRNA from 1 species
CUCUCAGGGACUCGGAACGAGGGCUGGGGGGCAGCAAUCUCCCCCCAACUUAACCUCUAGUACCCCUCGGAUUUCUAAUUGCAUUAUAUCUUGUUUAUUUAUUGAUCUAUUCAUUUAUUUGCUCAACAACGUUUAUCGAGUGCCUACUUUGGGUCAGCCCCUUGCUUGAAGUGGUGAACAGCAGACAUGUUUCUGCCAUGAUGGAGCUCACAGUCCAGCAGGGAAAACAGGUGCUAAGUACGUAAUGAUGCUGAACUGUGAUGCUGCAUUAUGCAUUGUGCACACACGGAUACUCAUCUUUUAAAUUCAGUUUAGACAUCGUCUCCUCCAGGCAGUCUCUCCAGAUUCUCCUGGUUGCGUUAGGCACCGUCCUAUGUGCCCUGCUGGCAUCCUAUAAAUGUCUCUGUCCUACCACUUCACACACUGUGCUGCCACUGUAGAUGAGGCUGUCUUCCACCUUCCCUACAGUGAAUGGUGGGCUUCAGAGGCGCCAGGAUCGUCUCAUUUCCUUCUUAAUCCCUAGCUCAGUUCCUGGUACAUAAUAGAGUCCAAUAAAUGCGAAGUAAAAGGCUGACUGAAGAAACAUUUUCUUUAUUGGGUCUUUCCAAGGAGGGUCCCAAUAAAUGUCACUUCUGAACGAUUUAAGAAAUAAUUCAGGAGUAAAGACACAGACCGAAUACGACCUUUAGGAGUGCUGGAGGCUCUGUUGGAGGAUGUAGCUUAGCUGAGGACCAAAUGGGGCUGCCAGGGAGCCACAGCAGUAGGCAGAUGCCCACCCAGGUGAGGGGCCCUAGGGGCCGGGAGGGGGUGGCUGAAGCGCAGCGGAGCGUGCUCCCCGGUGGGGGGUGGGGAGUGGGGGGCGGGGAGUUGUUCCUCGCUUGUCCAGUCAACCUCCCAGAUCGACCCCGAGAGAAAGGGCCCCGCCCCCAGGGGCAGAAGGUGCUGAUGGGGGAGAGAGGUCCGGAACAUAGAGGCCGCGCUAAUUUGCCCUUUACGGGAAGGAAACACCAGACAGAUGUCAGCAAGAAAUGUUCCCUGUGACCAGCUCCACCCUUUCUCCUAUGUUUGUUCACUCUUUACAAAAGCCGAUGGAGGUGUCCCCUCAUCUACAGAGGAGGAAGACGAGGACUUUAAAGACAGCAAGUGAGCAUGGGUUGAUCUCAAGAUGAACUGGAACUGAAGAAAUCGAAAUUAGAAACCAAAUGUCCAUAUUUCAGAGAAAAGAACUUUACCAUUGAUCAGUUGCCCUGGGCAGUAAGAAACAGAUCGGGCACAAACUGGCUUAAGCUGGAAGCAAACGAAUUAGUUCACGUAGAAGGUGUCAACAGCAGGGUGGGCUUCAGGGUGGGUGGAUUCAGAGGCUUGAGGGCAUCAUUCUGUUCCUCGGUUCCAUUCUGUCUCUCCUCGCUGUCCUCCAUAGCACCGGCCUCAUGCUAAGUCUGGUUCCCUUGUGUUCGAAUGGUGGCUGCCAAUGGCAGUCGGGACACGUGUUUUCUUUCCCACCCAGGGAGGGAGAAGAAGAGGCUAGAUACCCAUGACACAUUCUUCCCUGGCGUCCCCAGGAGCCUCUGCUCAUGACUCAGGGGCCUCCCGGAGAGGAGAUGGUGGUCCCAGGCUUGCGCAGACCCAUCUGCUGGCGCGGAGUGGAUGUAGCCUCUAGGAUCACACGAAGAGGUUUCAGCUGUGCUGGGGCUUCCCCACUUUCAUGUUCCUUGAGUGUAAACUAAUGGGGCUGUUCUGUUUGUCUAUUGCUAUACAACAAAUGACCCCAAACUUAGUGGCUUGAAGAUACAGUCAUUUUAUUGUAUCUCCCAAUUUACGGGUCAUGAAUUCAGGCAGGACCCAGCUGAGAGAUGCUUCAGCAUCACAUGGCUUGGGCUGGGGUCACUCAGCGGUAUUUGGCUGGCAGCCAGGCUGGUCCGAGGGUCCUAGGAUGUCAUCACUCACAUGAUUGGCACCCUAGCGAUACUGGGGGCUGGGCUCAGGUGGGCGCCUCUCCCUCAUUGUGUGGGCCCUCUCCUUGUGGUCUCUCCAGCGGAGGAGCUGAACUUCUCACGUGGUGGCUCAGUUUGCUACACAGCUGCAAGUGACAGAGAAAUUGUGAAAUACAAGAUGAUUCCCAAUGAUUUGACAUGUCAUCUCCACUGUCCAUAAUAAACAAAAAGAAACGGGCAUUCAAUUUUAAUAAUAGAUGCUUUGUUUUUCUCCAUGCCCCCUAAAUAGAUGUGUCCAUUUUUAAAAUAUCUGUUUGAAGAGAUGCCGCUUUGCCAUACUGUCCAGGGUGCCGGCGUCGCUGGCUCACCCUGUAUGGUAUGACUGUGGGGUUAUCUUUCCUUCCCAUCACCCCUGCUUGGUCUAGGGCAUCAUCACGUCUCCCAUGCUAUCCCAGUAGCCUCCAUCUGACCCUCUGGCACCAGUCUCACCCUCUUCCACUCAUCCUCUACAUGUUUUCCAGUGUGAUUUUUCUGAAACAAAUCUGCUCAGACCAUUCUCUUGUCUAAAGUCACUAUGGGGUUCUCUUUUACCAACCAGAUAAAAUUCACUCUUGAGUAUGGC